UUUGCCAAAAUGCACCCUGUGUAAAACUCCCUGCUGGAUUAACGAGCCCACGUCACUCUUUGGACUCGCGCAUUUGCGCACAUGUGCAACUUUGCCAUUUCCUUUUUGCAGUUUGCUGCGGACAUGAGUACAGCAGCUCCUAAAGUUGAACGUCACUUGUAUAAAGCUUCUGUG